ensembl:lncRNA
UAAAGUCUUUUUGUUGAAGAACUCUGCAUUUGAGUCCUGCCUUUCCACGCAUCCCGUGACACUCAUCCUCAGAGGACCUGAGGUAAAACUAUGGCCCCUUCGCUUUUAAAGGAGCUAUUUUGGGAGUUACGGAUAUCAGACUAGGUAGCCCUAGGGAUACUUUUCUCUGGAGGUAUCUGAGGAACAUUGAACUGGCAGUUGGCCCUGUGAGAGCUUGACCUAUAACGGGCUUUUACACCCCCAAUUUCCAUUGUGUAAUUUACACACCAGCUCAAACGUUUGGCUGGUUAAAGCCAUUACCUGGAUAAGUGUGUAGCAGUAUGGAAAUAGGAUUGUCCUGCUACAGUUAACUGCGCCUGCCGACCACUAGGGCGGCGGUAGUAUAUAAAGGCUGCCCCCCUUCUCGCGCCCCACUGAUGCAUCAUUUCCGGGUCAGGUGUCUGUCCGCGCAGAGUAGCGACAGAGGACUCCGUGCCCCUUUUUGCUCUUGGGUCCUCUCCGUGUUAGACCGAACGAUAUUCUGUAGCUAACGUUAUUGUGGUCACAGGUAGAUGUCUUCCUGCCGUGUGGGUCUUUCUCUCCCUCCCUCUCCCUGUGCAGGUUUGACCUGGGAAACAGGGAAUGCUCAUCAGCUGGCCGAAAUCCACAGGUGGUGAUUGAUGUGACAACACUCAGUUGAUUGGGGCCACUGCUGCUUUGCCUGCAACUUUGGCUGCUGCUACAUGUAACCUUGUCUGUAACUGUCUGCCCUGUUAAAAGCUGUUAAGUGCAGUUUGGUCUCCGCCGCGACGUACCUAGCAUGUCUAUUGCCGGCACCAGACUUGGACCUGUGUAGUUGUUGAUUCUAGCUCGACUGAGUAGUUAAUCCUUUAGUUUGUAUUUCUUUUGGUUUGUUUCACUUAUUUUCUUUUUGUUUGGGUUACGUGAAUUGUUUCAUUAGGAUGAUUUUUAUGUGAAUUAUUUUCUUUUUCUGUUUUGUGUUGUAAAUUUUUGGUUUAAUCCUCUUGUAACCUUUUUUUGUCAUCCUUCCUAGCGGCUGUAGGCUGGUGGUGGCGCCGGUGGUGUGGGUGGUGGUGGUCUUCCUCGUGUGUCGUGUCCCAUUGGAUUGUUGUGCUAUCACUGGGUGAACUCUGGUUUGGUUUUCUCUAAGUUUGUUCUAUUAAUUUUCCUUCCCCUUCAUCGGCGCUUCUCACCAUUAGGCCUUAGCGAUUAGUUUCCUUUUCUCAUUUUUGUGAUGAAAUGUUAGAUUUUACGGCAAUGUAUAUUUAUUGAAUAAAAAUGUUUUUGUAAACUGGGAACCACGAGCCCUUGCCUAUUGGGUGGAACGAACCUGUGUGCUUUAAAAGGUCUUGGGCCUAUCCCAAGUGGCGUUGCCGGUAGGAUAGGAAACCAUUACACCACAAGCGCAUGGGUGAAUAACAAAUGGGACCUUAACACAGUACCUCAAGUCCAAUAACCAACUGUGACACAGAAAGAAUACAUGUAAAAAAAGACUAAUCUAAACCCGUUUUGGAAAACUGAUUGCAAUGACAAACAAAGUGUUAAAAGGAAGAAGUGAAAUUGUUGGUCAGCACUGAGUCUUGGUCACAUAUGAUAGUAAUAUACACACUAAUGAGAACAAACAGUUUUGUGGAUUCUAGUCCCUGCAGGGUUCUUUUUAAGCCUAAGCUUUACAUCCGCUGCACCUACACUUCCCCAUAAAACCUCCCUCUCAUGCCAGUGAUGAGAUGCUGAAGCUGUAUUCUGGUCACUGCACCGUUAAAGGCAGACAUACCGGCUUAUAACAUUUCCAGCAGUGUGUUUGUGCUUGCAGAAGUGGACCCCGCUUGCAGAUAACAAGCUGUGGUGGAACAACUGAAUCGUAGAUGUCUGCUGUACUGCGUGAUAUGGAUCGGUCUGGAAGCACCACCGUGCCCGGCCUACUCCCAACCGAGCCACAUGCAGCUUAUCACAAAUAAUGCGCUGCCUGUCAUGUCAAGCAUUCUAUUUGUUUUUUUUAUCAAAUCUGACACUUGAGAUGGCGGAAAAUGUAGCGUACAGUACAUGGCCCGUCUUCUCAGAGUGUGUUCAUGUUAAUCAAACCUAAUGAAUAAAUGGAUAUAUAGAUUACGCAUCAUUACACCUGCCCUGCAGUAAUGUUUUUAUCAGCCCCAGGGCAGCUGCAUCUUUUAUUGACUGCUCACACUGGAGCUCCCUCAAAGAUGUUUAAUUAUCAGUUUCAUCAUGAACACAAUCUAUACAUUUGUUCAAUUGUAUACCCAUCCUCUCCCUCCCUUUUUAAUGUGUGUUCGGGUUGGUGAAACUGCUGCGGUUGUUCCUGUGGAUAGAUACAGCAGGUGGGUGAACAGAACACACAGAUACACAAGUAAAUCACUGCCCCUCUGACACUGUUGAGUAACUACCAAUGUUGCUUUGCCUCUUGGUGCUACUCUGCAAGGUCAGAGGAUAACACCUUGUUUAUCUCUCUCUCCCAAAGAUACAUCUCAAGAGAAAACACACAUAUUGCUGCACAGAGUAUCAUUUUGUUUCUAUCUGGUAUGCAAAUGUUGGUAAACUGCACAAUUAUUCUGACUUCUUUCUGAAACACACACACACACACACAAUUCUGUACCGUGGUACCAGAUGGCAUGGUUUAAAACCGACGUGUGGCAAACCGAACCAUUCCUGCACUUUAUUACCACGGGAAACUGUCACCACACAUACACACAAUUACUUUGUAUGGUUUAUGAUAGUGGUGAGUCACCAUGAGUACUAAAUAUGAGGACAAUUGUCUCCCUCAGGAAGAAACAGGUCACAGGUCACACAUUUAUUAUUUAUUCAUUACAUAUUAGUAAGGGACAAGUACAGGGGAGCAUUGUCCGUUAUACCGUUCAGGUGUAGAAAGCCGAUGUCUCCUAUUUUCUAUGUCUGUCUGAUGCGUGUGGCUAACUGAUUGCUGCUCAUCCACACACCUGCCUAAUGUACCUCUCUUUAUUAAGAAUUUUAGCUAUGAAAAGUAUUGAAUGACGUUACUGAGGCUCAUUGCAGCCUGAGAUAACAAUAGGCCCUUAAAUAUUUCAAAGAAACUCAGCUGUAACUGGUUACUUUUACUUCACAUGAAAACAUUGUAGUACUAUGUGUGAGAGGGACGGGUUACAUUGCAGAUGUAGAAUUGACUUGAUUUGGUGCCUUUAUUAUUCAUUAAACCCUCCAGCAUCAAUUCAAAAUGGGAAGCUCCGACUUAAAGAAACAUGAAUAAUCAGAUUUAAGUAAAUUAUGCUAAAGUUGCCUCUUUCUUUUUUCACUCGAAGUAAGCAUUUUAAUGCCGGACUUUUACCGUGCUGUGUUUUUAGUUUUAUGAAUGAUUUGAUCUAAAAAAAAACGUUUUCAUCAGGUAGGCAUCCAAAUCCACCAUUAAAAACUAACAGAGACAAUUACUGAAUGUAAAAUGUGUAUUAAAAAUGGAGAUGAAUAAUUAUAAAAAAAAUCCUUGUUUGUUUGUAAUAUUUUACAAUAGAAAUGAUGAUAUAAAAACAUGAGAGGGGUUGACCGUAGGGACACCAACAGAGAAUUAGCACUUGAAUCUGGUUUCUUCUUCCCCCAGGUGGCCAAAAAAUAAUUAAAUGCUGGUUUAAGAAGUAAAACUUUUCCAAUCAUAACAUUAUUACUUUCAGAAAUGUAGUCAUCCGUUGGUUGUACUGCAGGUGUGAAGUAAUUGGUUCCCAUUGUUUUUAAAAAUUAAAUUCUUCGUGCAGUGACAAACUGCUGCACUAAUGAAUAUAAUCCAUCAUUUUAUUAUAAAAACAUCGUC